rnacentral:rRNA from 1 species
UACAGAGGGGGCAAGCGUUGUUCGGAAUUACUGGGCGUAAAGGGCGCGUAGGCGGCCCGCUAAGUCGAACGUGAAAUCCCCGGGCUCAACCCGGGAACUGCGUCCGAUACUGGCAGGCUUGAAUCCGGGAGAGGGAUGCGGAAUUCCAGGUGUAGCGGUGAAAUGCGUAGAUAUCUGGAGGAACACCGGUGGCGAAGGCGGAAUCCUGGACCGGUAUUGACGCUGAGGCGCGAAAGCCAGGGGAGCAAACGGG